rnacentral:rRNA from 1 species
GACGAACGCUGGCGGCGUGCUUAACACAUGCAAGUCGAACGGAAAGACCCUGCUUUUGUGGGGUGCUCGAGUGGCGAACGGGUGAGUAACACGUGAGUAACCUGCACUUGUCUGUGGGAUAACUUCAGGAAACUGGGGCUAAUACCGGAUAGGAGCUCCUGCUGCAUGGUGGGGGUUGGAAAGUUUCGGCGGUGUGGGCUGGACUCGCGGCUUAUGAGCUUGAUGGUGGAGUAGUGGAUUACCAAGCCUUUGACGGGUAGCCGGCCUGAGAGGGUGACCGGGGACAAUGGGCCUGAGAGACGCCGCAGACGCCUACGGGAGGCAGUAGUGGGGAACAUGGCACAGUGGGCGGAAGCCUGAGGCAGCAACGCCGCGUGCGGGAUGACGGCUUUUGGGGUGUAAACCGCUGUCGACUGUGACGAAGCGUGAGUGACGGUAAUGGGUAAAGAAGCACCGGCUAACUUCGUG